rnacentral:rRNA from 1 species
AGUCGAGCGGAUGAAGGGAGCUUGCUCCUGGAUUCAGCGGCGGACGGGUGAGUAAUGCCUAGGAAUCUGCCUGGUAGUGGGGGAUAACGUCCGAAACGGGCGCUAAUACCGCAUACGUCCUGAGGGAGAAAGUGGGGGAUCUUCGGACCUCACGCUAUCAGAUGAGCCUAGGUCGGAUUAGCUAGUUGGUGGGGUAAAGGCCUACCAAGGCGACGAUCCGUAACUGGUCUGAGAGGAUGAUCAGUCACACUGGAACUGAGACACGGUCCAGACUCCUACGGGAGGCAGCAGUGGGGAAUAUUGGACAAUGGGCGAAAGCCUGAUCCAGCCAUGCCGCGUGUGUGAAGAAGGUCUUCGGAUUGUAAAGCACUUUAAGUUGGGAGGAAGGGCAGUAAGUUAAUACCUUGCUGUUUUGACGUUACCAACAGAAUAAGCACCGGCUAACUUCGUGCCAGCAGCCGCGGUAAUACGAAGGGUCCGCAAGCGUUAAUCGGAAUUACUGGGCGUAAAGCGCGCGUAGGUGGUUCAGCAAGUUGGAUGUGAAAUCCCCGGGCUCAACCUGGGAACUGCAUCCAAAACUACUGAGCUAGAGUACGGUAGAGGGUGGUGGAAUUUCCUGUGUAGCGGUGAAAUGCGUAGAUAUAGGAAGGAACACCAGUGGCGAAGGCGACCACCUGGACUGAUACUGACACUGAGGUGCGAAAGCGUGGGGAGCAAACAGGAUUAGAUACCCUGGUAGUCCACGCCGUAAAUCGAUGUCGACUAGCCGUUGGGAUCCUUGAGAUCUUAGUGGCGCAGCUAACGCGAUAAGUCGACCGCCUGGGGAGUACGGCCGCAAGGUUAAAACUCAAAUGAAUUGACGGGGGCCCGCACAAGCGGUGGAGAAGCAUGUGGUUUAAUUCGAAGCAACGCGAAGAACCUUACCUGGCCUUGACAUGCUGAGAACUUUCCAGAGAUGGAUUGGUUGCCUUCGGGAACUCAGACACAGGUGCUGCAUGGCUGUCGUCAGCUCGUGUCGUGAGAUGUGGGUUAAGUCCCGUAACGAGCGCAACCCUUGUCCUUAGUUACCAGCACCUCCGGGUUGGGCACUCUAAGGAGACGUGCGGUGACAAACCGGGAGGAAGGUGGGAUGACGUCAGUCAUCAUUGCCUUUACGGCAGGCCUACCCACCGUGCUACAAUGGCCCGUACAAAGGGUUGCCAAGCCGCGAGGUGGAGCUAAUCCCAUAAAACCGAUCGUAGUCCGGAUCGCAGUCUGCAACUCGACUGCGUGAAGUCGGAAUCGCUAGUAAUCGUGAAUCAGAAUGUCACGGUGAAUACGUUCCCGGGCCUUGUACACACCGCCCGUCACACCAUGGGAGUGGGUUGCUCCAGAAGUAGCUAGUCUAACCGCAAGGG